rnacentral:rRNA from 1 species
UACGGGAGGCAGCAGGUGGGGAAUAUUGCACAAUGGGCGAAAGCCUGAUGCAGCUAUGCCGCGUGUAUGAAGAAGGCCUUAGGGUUGUAAAGUACUUUCAUCGGGGAGGAAAAACAAAACUAAUAAUUUUAUUUCUUGACGUUACCCGAAAAAGAAGCACCGGCUAACUCCGUGCCAGCAGCCGCGGUAAUACGGAGGGUGCUAGCGUUAAUCAGAAUUACUGGGCGUAAAGAGCACGUAGGUGGUUUUUUUAAGUCAGAUGUGAAAUCCCUGGGCUUAACCUAGGAACUGCAUUUUGAAACUGAAAUACUAGAGUAUCGUAGAGGGAGGUAGAAUUCUAGGUGUAGCGGUGAAAUGCGUAGAUAUCUGGAGGAAUACCUGUGGCGAAAGCGGCCUCCUAAACGAAUACUGACACUGAGGUGCGAAAGCUGGGGAGCAAACAGGGAUUAGAUACC